ACACUCCUGCGGGAGGCAGCAGUGGGGAAUUUUGGACAAUGGGCGAAAGCCUGAUCCAGCAAUGCCGCGUGUGUGAAGAAGGCCUUCGGGUUGUAAAGCACUUUUGUCCGGAAAGAAAUCCUUGGCUCUAAUACAGUCGGGGGAUGACGGUACCGGAAGAAUAAGCACCGGCUAACUACGUGCCAGCAGCCGCGGUAAUACGUAGGGUGCGAGCGUUAAUCGGAAUUACUGGGCGUAAAGCGUGCGCAGGCGGUUUGCUAAGACCGAUGUGAAAUCCCCGGGCUCAACCUGGGAACUGCAUUGGUGACUGGCAGGCUAGAGUAUGGCAGAGGGGGGUAGAAUUCCACGUGUAGCAGUGAAAUGCGUAGAGAUGUGGAGGAAUACCGAUGGCGAAGGCAGCCCCCUGGGCCAAUACUGACGCUCAUGCACGAAAGCGUGGGGAGCAAACAGGAUUAGAAACCCCAGUAGUCCC
rnacentral:rRNA from 1 species